GAAUCGAGAGAGAGAGUGUGUGUGUCUGGCUUUGAUCGAAACAGACCUGGUUCAAGGUGAGAUGUGAAAUAGUUGGGACAUUUCCGGUGGCGAUUAAUGUCAGCCUUUUGUUGUGAAAUUGCUCAGAAACGACGUGUUAAACUGUGAAAAAAGGGAGUGGGGGAAAACUGGAGGCUAAAUGCAACCGAUGUAUUUUUUUUUUUUAUGUGUUUGUUAAAAAGAAGAGAAAACAAGUUUCACAUUCAAACGAGGCAGUGAAAACUAAAAACUUUAAACUUUAAAAGUUAUAGUGGUUCCACAAUGUUAUGCACAAAAAAUCCAAGACGCCUAUUUGAACAAAGAAAUGGAGAGUGUGUGUUUUUGAGGUGAUGUAUUGUUUCACACACGUGCACUCAGACAGCUACAGUUUAAAGACGCCGAACAAACAAGCAUGCUUGAGUCUCGAGAUGCAUGUCAUAUUAAAACAGCAACAGUAUUUUCUCGACAGAAUAUAAAUAGAGCGUGACGAUAAAGUUAGGUUGAUUAAUUUCAAAUAGCCUAAUGAUUUUGAUGUAAAAGAGGUCUUCGUGUGUUUGUUCGGAACACGCCCACCUCUCGCGACACUAUGAUCCGCCCAAACAGUUGUCGGGUGAUUUAAAGAUUUGUUGCGGGAACACUGGACUCAUUGUUACCGUCCCCUCACCACUGUCUCGCGCGCCGCUGCCUGAAACCACCUGCGCUCAAAUGGCUCUCAAUCUUAACGUCGACGAGGCUCGAAGCGGCGAAGAUAACACAACACCUGGUGUCCCGUCGUCGUGUGCACCUGAUAAAUCAGCGGCUCCGGAUAACCUCAAACCGGUGGUAUCAGUACCUUUGAGUGGCAGUAACAGUGGGUCUGAACCGGUGACGCCGGGGGAUUCACUCCAGGCUAUAACAACCCAGAGUCUUGAGCCCAAGUCCAGUGGAUGCAACACGUCUGCCUUGAGAUGUGGGGAAAAGCGGGAGAGGGAAUCAGACGACCCCUCUGAAGUUCCUGUGAAACGCCGCUUGAGACCAUCAGAGGAUAACGGGAAAGAAUGUUCACCAGAUUACGACCAGAGAUGUGCGGAGCUAUGGAUCGAUGGUGAAAUGGCUGCUUGUGAGGCUUAUGAAUUAUCAAAGUCCAGCAGCGACACCCAGCGCCGACAUGUUGUUCCACAACACGACAAUAACAGUUCUGUCAGUCGGCCUCCCACACAGAAGGACUUUGCACGUGCUGUUCGAGCCGAAGUGGCAGCCUGUUUUCAACCCCUCACAAAGUUGAUUAGUUUGAGUAUUGAGUGGAGCAGAACUGAUUUCGCUGAGGUGAUAAGUAGACUUCGUGCACUGCAGAGGGAUACCACAGAGUUGGGAAGUGAAAUCCGUAAUAUGCGAGCAGAUAAAAGACAGGCGUUAGAUGAAAUCUCUCUUAUGGAAGAAAGAAUGAGCGUCAUUCAAAGGUGUGUGUUAGAGACGCACCAAAUUAUGAAUACUACUAGAAAAUGAUGGGUCUGUUUAUCAUAGCAUACUGAUUUUGGUUCAACCCUAUUUCUGCUAAACUUUUCUUCUUUUUUUAUAUAAUUGUAUUAACGAGUGAUUAUAAUUUUUUUUUUUUUUUAUGAUGUGCAUGCUUGUUUAUUACAUAACUUUUGUGUGUUAUUUUAAUUUUUUUUUUUUUAAUAAAUUGUUUCAAAAUGGCCCUAAAAGAUGUCACAGUGAUUUCAAUGACAUCCAACCAGAUGUGUAUGUGUGUAUGUAUCUAUAUAUAAGGCUUAUUUUAA
rnacentral:lncRNA from 1 species